UACGUAGGGUGCAAGCGUUGUCCGGAAUUAUUGGGCGUAAAGAGCUCGUAGGCGGCUUGUCGCGUCGGCUGUGAAAACCUAGGGCUCAACCCUGGGCCUGCAGCCGAUACGGGCAAGCUAGAAUUCGGUAGGGGAGACUGGGAUUCCUGGUGUAGCGGUGAAAUGCGCAGAUAUCAGGAGGAACACCGGUGGCGAAGGCGGGUCUCUGGGCCGAUAUUGACGCUGAGGAGCGAAAGCGUGGGGAGCGAACAGG
rnacentral:rRNA from 1 species